UACGGGGGGGCAAGCGUUGUUCGGAAUUACUGGGCGUAAAGGGCUCGUAGGCGGCCAACUAAGUCGGAUGUGAAAUCCCCAGGCUUAACCUGGGAACUGCAUCCGAUACUGGAUGGCUUGAAUCCGGGAGAGGGAUGCAGAAUUCCAGGUGUAGCGGUGAAAUGCGUAGAUAUCUGGAGGAAUACCGGUGGCGAAGGCGGCAUCCUGGACCGGCAUUGACGCUGAUGAGCGAAAGCUAAGGGGAGCAAACGGGG
rnacentral:rRNA from 1 species